AAAGCCNUNAACUANNNNNCACCGGCGUGUGCGAAGAAGGCCUUNNGGGUUNUAAAGCACUUUUAGAGAGGAUGAGGAAGGACGGUACUCUCUGAAUAAGUCUCGGCUAACUACGUGCCAGCAGCCGCGGUAACACGUAGGAGGCAAACGUUAUCCGGAUNUACUGGGCGUAAAGCGCGUGUAGGUGGUUCUGUAAGUAGGGCGUGAAAGCUCCCGGCUCAACUGGGAGAGGCCGUUCUAAACUGCAGAGCUAGAGGAUGGUAGAGGGAGGUGGAAUUCCGGGUGUAGCGGUGGAAUGCGCAGAUAUCCGGAGGAACACCAGUGGCGAAGGCGACCUCCUGGACCACUCCUGACACUCAGACGCGAAAGCUAGGGUAGCAAACGGGAUUAGAGACCCCGGUAGUCCUAGCCCUAAACGAUGUUUACUUGGCGUCGGUGGCUUAAUCGCCAUCGGUGUCGUAGCUAACGCGAUAAGUAAACCGCCUGGGGACUACGGCCGCAAGGUUAAAACUCAAAGGAAUUGACGGGUCCCCGCACAAGCAGCGGAGCGUGUGGUUUAAUUCGUUGCUACACGAAGAACCUUACCUGGGUUUGACAUAGCAGUGGUAGGGAAACGAAAGUGGACCGACCCUUCGGGGAGCUGUUACAGGUGUUGCAUGGCUGUCGUCAGCUCGUGUCGUGAGAUGUUCGGUUAAGUCCGCUAACGAGCGCAACCCGCGUGAUGUGUUACAUGUGUCACAUCAUACUGCCGGUAUUAAGUCGGAGGAAGGUGCGGAUGACGUCAAGUCAGCAUGACCUUUAUAUCCAGGGCUACACACACGCUACAAUGGUCUGUACAAUAGGUUGCCAAGCCGCGAGGCGGAGCCAAUCCUACAAAGCAGGCCUCAGUUCAGAUUGCAGUCUGCAACUCGACUGCAUGAAGUUGGAGUUGCUAGUAACCGCAGGUCAGCUAUACUGCGGUGAAUACGUUCCCGGGGAUUGUACACACCGCCCG
rnacentral:rRNA from 1 species